UACAGAGGGUGCAAGCGUUAAUCGGAAUUACUGGGCGUAAAGCGUGCGUAGUCGGUUAUUUAAGUCGGGUGUGAAAGCCCCGGGCUCAACCUGGGAAUUGCAUUCGAUACUGGAUAGCUAGAGUUCGGCAGAGGGAAGCGGAAUUUCCGGUGUAGCGGUGAAAUGCGUAGAUAUCGGAAGGAACAUCAGUGGCAAAAGCGGCUUCCUGGACCAGAACUGACGAUCAGGCACGAAAAGCGUGGGGAGCAAACAGG
rnacentral:rRNA from 1 species